rnacentral:lncRNA from 1 species
GGCAGAGGGCUGCCUUCUGUGUGGGCUUGCCCCUCGCCACACCUGGCCAGGAGCCUCCCCCAGCCCCGUGACCCUUGUGUCAGAGCCUGGCCAGAUGACAGACGGCCUGGGGUGCAGGCGAGACCCACUGAACUGGCAGCUGAGGACAGGUCCAGGCCCAGUGGCUGGGGGACUUCUCAGAGCAGGUACCACAACAGCUACCCAAGGACUCAGGACUUUUCUCCCACAGCCAGACUUGGUGAUUGCAUGAAGGAGCCCAGCCUCGGAUGACCUUUCCCCGUGACAAGGCACUAGGAGAGCACAGACCUCCCCACACAAACAGUAAGUCAGCAUGUGGUUAAAAAUGUAAAUAUGCACUACAGAGUUUAAAAUAUAUCAACCGAAGGAGUAAAACCAGACUGUCUGCUUGUCUUGGAUUCAUUUUGUGCUGUACAAGGCUCAAAAGGAACCCAAAUUCUGGCUAAAGAGGCCUUUUAUGGGAGGCCCCGCCUUGACGGUGACAGGUUGAGACCUAUUGCAAACCCGUGGUGGCCUCACCCACCAAUUUCCUCUGCAGCUUCUUCCCCCUCCAUGCUCCAGGCUGGCCAGCAAGCAGGCCGGGGGCCAGGGGCACACUAGCUCCAGGCGUGACAGCCAGAUGCUUCCUGCACCACCAGGCCUGCUCCGAGGCUGCAUCCCAGAAGCCACUCCAGGCAGGCAGGGUUUCUUCCCAACAUCUUGGGAAACAGAACUUACACAUUACCCCCAGCACACACACAGUACCUAGAACACUCUGGCUUCAAUGCCACGCCCAUCUCUGUCUGUGUCUACACUGUUUGGGGUUGAUUGAUAAGGCCCCAAAUGCAUUCCCACCAAGAGCUCGUUUUGCAGACUUAUCAUAUCACACCACGCCAGGGGCACGUGCACGUUUUAGAACAUGGUAUCCUAGAGGUGACAGUGCCCUACCCCAGUGUUCAUUCUUUAUUUGUUCAAACUCCAUGUGCAUCCAAUUGGCUUUCAGUAACACACAAGAGCUCAGGUAACAAGAAGAGAACUGUACCCGGAUGAUGAACUGGAACAUCCACCCUCAUCUUCACCUCCUCCACCCCAGGCCAUGUGCUUCACAGUCACACAGGGGAGCUUCUGGAAUGGACAGUGUUCCUGGUGUUGACUAUAGCCGUGGGCCUCUGAGAAGCUGAAGCAGUGUUGGGCGGAGACAGCUUCAGGGUCACCAGGCCCAGCUAGAACUCCAGGCUGACCUCAGGGCAACGUCCAGCAUCAAGAUGAGCUCCUGGGGCAUGAGGCUACGCAAGGCCUGAGACCCCACAGAUGGAGGACGCUGGGCCACCUGGUGGGGCUCCUUCAGCAAGAGAGGAAAGCAGGCCAAGGCCAGAGGCAGCUGCUGUCUGAAGAUGGGAGGGAGGCGUGCAGGCCUGGCUCCAGCCCACGGUGCGCAGCAAACUCCAGCCUGCUAGACGCAGAUGCAAUUGGAGCCAAGUGCACCUUGAUACCUCCAAGAUGUGACCCCUUACCAGACCCUAAACAAACCUUGUUGACAGAGCCAGA